CACAUGGUGGAAGGAAAGAACAGA
rnacentral:piRNA from 1 species